rnacentral:lncRNA from 1 species
AUCCCUGGGCCUGGGCCUACCUAGGUGAAGACAGGCAUUUUUGUUUUCCUGCCCGGAUGUUGCAUUUCCCAAGACCACCCUGGCCUGCCAUGCCCUCAUCCUGUGCCUUUAAAAACCCCCGAGACCCUGGCAGGCAGACGCACAAGCAGCUGGACAUUGAGAGGAGCAUAUAGGCAGAGAAUACAGGGGCUGCUGGAUGUCGAAAGGAACGCACCAGCAUAGGAGCACACCGGCAUGCUGGCAGGCCAUUGACCAGCGGAAGAAUGCAGAGUUUGUCGCGGGAGGUCAGAGAAGAGUCAGGCCGCCAUACCUGACUCCAGGAGAAAACCGUCUCCCUUCUGGUUCCCCCGUCUGCCGAGAGCUACUUCCACUCAAUAAAACUUUCCACUCAUUCUUCAAGCCCACGUGUGAUCCAAUUCUUCCCGUACACCAAGGUCAAAACAGUCACAAGCCUGCUCAAAUUCGGAAAGAGGGGACGGAAAUGGAACCUCUUCAUGGGAGGAAGAAACAGGGUCUUGCUCUGUUGCCCUGGCUGGAGUGCAAUGGUAUGAUCAUAGCUCACAGUAGCCUUGAACUCCUGGGCCCAAGCCAUCCUCCUACCUCAGCAACCAGAGUAGCUGGGAUUACAGGCGAAUGCCACCACACCUGGGCAAGGAGCAGGCUCCAUGCAUGCAUUUGGGCUCUGUGGAAAAUCUAGCCAGGGAUGCGGGCCUUUCUGAACGCCGCUUUCAUUGUGCCCCCUGCAGCAUUAUCUCUUCGAUGCGAUGUCCCUGCUGACUGAAAUGCAGAGAAGCUACUAAGAUCCACACACCAGUUGCUGCAAUCGGUGCCCUGCUCUUUGUCCCCCAUUCACCCCAGGUGAUUCAGCUCUUCUGGCACUCCCAGUGAUUCCUGUGGGACAGGCCCAGAGUGGACUUCCCACGAAGAUUCCCAGACUGGGGGAGAGCUCUAAGAUCCACUUCCAAUUCCUUUGUCUCACCUAGGAGACUCUGGGUUUAUGGAAGUUCUCUCUGAUUAGUGCUGUUGCAGCUGGGUUUGGGGGUCAUGUAGUCUAAAUGAUUGUUUCUCUUACUGGUGGUGAUUUUUCCAGUUUCUGUGGGCCCAGUGGAUUUCUCUGCUUCUCCUUAGAGUUCUGGUGAACUCAGAAUGUUAGUGUUAUUCUUUUCUUUGAAAAUAGUUUCCAUUUGUAAUUUGCUUGGAGAGUGAUUCUGGGGGAUUCUAUUCUGCCAUCUUGCUGCUGUCACUCUUUAAUAAGAUUUGUAACUAAUUCUCAAAUUGUUCAUAGUCUUAAAACUACAUAGAGUUGAUUUCAUACAUUUUAUUAUGAGAACAAUAAAAGUAUUUUGUGUCUUUGCUAGUGAGAUUUUUAGUUAUACAGAAAUUACAGUGUUUCCUGCUAUGUUCAAUCAUUCCAAGAUUCAUUAUACAUAUGUUAAAUAUGUUAUACAUUUGUUUACAUAAUGCAUAUUUUAUUUUUUUUCUGAGAUACCCAAAGCAUAAUCUCCCUCACUAUCCUGAAUAAUUAUAAAUUAGUAUUUCAUAUAUGAUAGAAAAUUUGUGACAUCCACUAUUUUUAAGAACGGCUAGGCUGGGCGUGGUGGCUCAUUCCUGUAAUCCCAGCACUUUGAGAGGCUGAGGUGGGCGGAUCACGUGAGUUCGGGAGUUCGAGACCAGCCUGACCAGCAUGGAGAAACCCCAUCUCUACUAAAAAUACAAAAUUAGCCGGGCGUGGUGGCACAUGCCUGUAUUCCCAGCUACUCGGGAGGCUGAAGCAGGAGAAUUGCUUGAACCCGGGAGGUGGAGGUUGCAGUGAGCCGACAUCAUGCCAUUGCACUCCAGCCUGGGCAGCAAGAGUGAAACUCUGUCUCGAAAAAAAAAAAAAAAAAAAAAGAAGAAUGGCUAAUUUCAGAACAUGUUUAUAUGUAUGUUGUAUUCAAUGUCUUUAAUUAAAGUCUGUUUCUUUAUCCUAAUUUGUGUGGCAAACUAAUAUUUACCAUAAUAAAUGGCUUGAAGAAUAAAA